GGCGGUCUUCGGUAGUGGCUGCCGGGCUCCUCAGGGAGAGCCCGACAGCUUCGAUCGACGGCCGUA
rfam:Mycobacterium sp. djl-10, complete genome.